rnacentral:rRNA from 1 species
CCUCGGGGGGCUGCAGUAAGGAAUAUUGGUCAAUGGACGCAAGUCUGAACCAGCCAUGCCGCGUGGAGGAUGAAGGUCCUCUGGAUUGUAAACUUCUUUUAUUUGGGAAGAAACUCCCGAUUUCCAUCGGGAUUGACGGUACCAGAUGAAUAAGCACCGGCUAACUCCGUGCCAGCAGCCGCGGUAAUACGGAGGGUGCACGGAUUCACCGGAUUCACUGGGUUUAAAGGUGGCCUGGGUGGUCAGGUAUGAAAUCUCCGGGCUUAACCCGGAAACUGCCAUUGAUACUAUUUGUCUUGAAUACUCUGGAGGUGAGCGGAAUAUGUCAUGUAGCGGUGAAAUGCUUAGAUAUGACAUAGAACACCCAUUGCGAAGGCAGCUCACUACGGAAAUAUUGACGCUGAGGCACGAAAGCGUGGGGAUCAAACAGGAUUAGAUACCCGGGUAGUC